UUGUUAUAGAACAACUCACAACAGUAGUAGUAGUAGGCUCAAUCCAACGACUCGCAGCAGCUCAAUGCUCUGCGCAUUCCGGAGAGAUUUAUUUCUAAGGAGCUGCUUCUCGGUCGUUCUCUAUAAUAACAAACUUCCUCAGGCAGCCGAGAGCCAUUUAUCUGCGCGUUUUUCCUGAUCGAGCUGACUGGAAGGCAGCAGCAGCAGCAGCAGCAACAGCAGCAGUAAUAAAGAGAGUCAAGGCUGGAAAAGACAAACCCAGAUGCUGCGUGGAGGAAAAAGAGGAAACCAGAUGAAUGAUGAUGAGUGAAUUUUUGAGAGAGAAAUCAGGGAGAAAGAAGGAAAGCGGUGAGUGCUCACUUAUGAUACAAACUCUUCCUUGUUUGGACGCAAAUAAAAGUGACAUUUCUUGGGACACUCUUGGCAUAUUUAGGUUUUGUAUUUUUUUUAAAUGAGGCUAAAUAUUAUUAUUGUCAGUGCAGUUCUGGAGUAUUCCUGCUGUCACAUUGCUGUUAGUGAUUUUUUUUGUAAGCGAUGAGAUGAUUUAGUGCUGAGGGCAGGCCGUGGUAGUGCGUAAUCUUGGACAGGUUGUAUUUGGUCCAAACCAAGGACAGGGCGCAGCUCUUGAUUAACUUGGACUCAGUUUUGUUAAAGAGCCGCUCGGCGCCAGUCGGCUGAUGCGACACAAUAAGAACAAUCUCUUGUCUCUUUCUUUAUAUUCACCCUGAAGUCGUGCAUGAUGUGCGAUGCCCCUCCGGCUCCACCAUCAACAGCCUCAUCUGCUCCACUUUUUUUCUGCCUCGGUCAUGACUCGGUGUCAGAUGUGAUUUUGUUUUUCUUUUUUUUUUUUUGGAUAAACAGCUGUUCUCUCCGGGCAAGAAAAGGAACCGUGUUUCGUGGGCCCACAGGCGACAAAAACUGAAACAAAAAGUGAUAAUCCUUCUGAAUGAGACUGUCAUGCGCAUUUCCUAUUAACCCCUUCAACUUGGCGCCUGUGCGUCUCUUCCGCUGUCAGGCAACACACAAAACUCUUUAAAAAAAAGUCUUGAAUAAUAUUUAUAAACUCCUUAUUAUUAAUAUAUUAAGUCCACCUAUUCCUUUCCUAAUCGGUCGCUAUGCAGGGCUGUAAAAACAAUCAAAUAAAGACAAAAAGGUGCAAAACAUGAUACAUUUGACUUCAGGACAUCUCUGACUACAUACAUGCUGAAAAGCAAACAUUUUUACGUAUUAAUUUAGAUAUUUUCCAAAGUGAAAGUACCUAGAAGUGUAUGAUUCAACUUUUUCCCAUUGUCUAGUGUUAAAAAAGUUAACAAAAAUCACAAUAAAUCGUAAUAUCGAUAUCAUUUUUUUAUCCUUAAAUGCGACUCCCCAAAAAAUGCAACUCCAGUUUUCAGGAGUCAGGACUUGUGUGUCAGAUGCAGCAUGCAUAAUAUGUGAUUUAUAGGAGCAUGCAAUGUUGGCACAUCCUGUUAUGUUACACACUUGUUGCUCGGCUUCCAUCAGAUUGCUACAGCCACGCGUAAAGAGAGUCAGCAGGCCAGACAGGAGCAGCUACAGCAACAACAGAGUUCACUAUAUACCUGAAUGAAGCCAAAACAGUUUCCAGGAAACACACAUCAGACCAGACACAUAAGUCCCAUAGAGCAUCAACUGUUUCACACAGUGGAGGCAUCAAUAGCAGAGUCAGACAAAAAAAAAAGUAUUUUCAGUCAGCCAGGUAGGUGGUGGAAAUAAGUGCCAGGGAGAUUUCACACGAGAAUCAGAAUCAGAAUCAGAAUGGUGUUUAUUGCCAGGUGUAAGAGGUAUACACUAGGAGCUUUGGUUUUGUUGGUGCAAGUUAAACAGUAUAAUAACAAAAGAAUAGAUAAAAACGUUAGAAUAAAAUAAGAAUAAAAAAAUAAAUAAUAGAAUAUAAAAUCAUCAAGCAUGUCUUGCACAUAUAUACCUCACAGUUUUCCUCAGAGUUAUAUAUUGUGGAGUGUGUAUCUGCUAUAAUCUGGCCGGACAGCUGACUUGUUUGUAACACUGCUCUUUCAGAUUUUAUGAAAUGGUUAGGUGGAGAUGUAGCAGUGGCGACAAGUUGGACAAGAGUUUUUGAAGCUGCAUGCACUGAGCUUCACUACAUGGGGAGAAAAAAAAAAACAGAUUAGCAACAUAUGGAGGUGGAUAACGGUUUUUCUGCCGGAAUACUCAACUGGAUAAUUGUAUAAACAAUUGCUUGUGCAAAUUAGUCACCAUUUAUUUGUUCUGUGCCGUCAACGGUACAGAAAUCACCAUUACGCGCGAUUUAAAAGUCAUUAAGUCGAGAGAAGGACUGCUCUGAGAUCUACAUGAGCACUGUGCUGAUGGCUUAACACAUUCUCUGUGUUGGGGAUUAAUGCAAGCAGACAGUGAAUUUGCUCCUUAGACUUGUUCUUUGGGAAUGUGAGGAAAAGCAAUCAUCAUGAAGGGUAAAAGAUGCGUAAAAUGGAGUGGAAACAUUUCUAAAACAGGAACAUAUUCAGAAGUCUUUGUACCCAAUUUUCUCCUAUUGGUAGUUUAGAUAAUUUAUGAUAUUGUCAAAAGAAAUGAGUAAAAACAGGCAAGUCUGGAUCUUAAAUUUGAGAUAUUUUAUGAAAAGAGUUGUCAGUCAUCAUGUGAGCUGGAGUUGUAUAGGCCUAUUUAAAAGUGCAUUAAAUGCUUGCAUCACGCUUUUCCAUACAGUAGGAAGUUGACCCAAGCUUUUUCUGUGUCCUUGAUCCGUCCGCUCAGUACAAUACAAUAUGCAGCUGCAGAUGUGAAAAUGAAAAUGUGCGUAAAAGGCGUCUUGAUGGUGAAGGUGAUUUGGCCCAUGUGUCAGCGAUCCGGCCCAAAGGCGCUCUAAUUACAACAUAACGGGGGCACUUUUUGCGCCAUAUUCGUCUAUAAUCGAGUAUUGUUAUUUUCUUCCUCCCCUUUCGACAUUGUUCCUUUCUUCCUUUUUAUCUCUCCAUCUUCUCCUCCCAUCUCCCUGCAUCAUCUCUCCGGCUAUAUUUAGCGGCUAGACUGAGGCCUUGGCGCCAGACCGUUUAAGACCUGUCAAAGUCCCUCAUAUUUCCCCUUGUCACAUGGAAACCCGGCGACCAGCGGCCCUCUCCUCCUCCUCCUCCUCCUCCUCCGCCUCCUCCUCCUUUUUUUCUUCUCCUUCUCCUCCCUCAUCCUCUUCGCACAGCUACCAGCAGCCCUCCUCCUCCUCCUCCUCCUCCUCCUCCUCUCCUCCUCUCCUUCUUCUCCUCCAGCUCCUCUACAGUUCACUCUGCUAAAUGAAACAUAUCAGUUCUCACUUGUAGGAAAGGCACAAUGUUUCCUCAACCACUCCCAACACACACGCACACACACACACUCUUAUCACACACAAACACACACACGCACACACACACACACACACACACUGAACCACUUGGUUGGAACAAUACCAUGACAGAGAAGAAGUGUUUUGGGACCAGACUAAUACCUGAUGCAUCCCAACUCUUCCAUAAAACAAACAUUUUUUUUUUUUUUUUUACUUACUGGACACGACUUCAUGACAAACUCAAUCAUAAACUACGACCACUCAUAUCCAGCUACCUUUCAGCCCCUAAAACCUGUUUGACCCUCCUAUUCUCACAGCCAUGUACAUCUGAACUGCAGCGCCUGCAGUGGUGUAUGGUGGCUGUGGUGGGUGCAUCUGUCUGACUGACAGGUAAACCACCAGGUGGGGGCGCUAUAGUGACCCAGGGGAGCCAGAGGAGAGUGACACAGAGCUGUCUGUCUGUCACAUCCACAACAGGCGUUACAGCAGACAUCCACUCGAUGCUCUAUAGACGCUACAGCAGCACAGUCUGAUCAGGUUUAAUCUCAUGUUUGGAUUUGAUUUAUUGUUUGACUCUUUAUUCUAUAUAUAUAUAUAUAUAUAUAUAUAUAUAUAUAUAUAAAUAUAUAUAUAUAUAUAUAUAUAUGUAUAUGAAAGAAAGAGAGAGAGAGAGAGAAUGUAUGAAAAUCGUUGCAAUGUAAAGAGUGUACUGCUAUAUAUAAGUUAUUGUGUUAAGGAGACUCGAGCACCCUUGGGUGGCCCUGAGUCCCACUUUUCUAGCCGCCGAUGAGAAGUAAAAACAGUUUGGCCACAGGUGACUGAAUGCAUGACGCACUGCAGAAUUGUGUGAUAGGUAUGUGCCAAACACGAUCACUGGAUGUGACGCGUGCUUCCAAUAUAUAUAUAUAUAUAUAUCACAAUGACAUUAACUACUGUCAUUACUGUCAGGGUUUUUUUUUUUUUUAUCAGCCUUAUCGAAAAAAAUCUCCUGUGUUGUCGGUUGCUGGUUGGAGGUGACCUUCCCGUUGUGCCUUUGAGCACAGAUAAGACCCCACACUUCCGUCAGGUGCCCUGUAUCGACACAAGAGGACUUGAUUUGAAAUCACCAAUAGAUUUAUUAAGAGUAUUUUUUAAAUUUUUUUUUUAGAUUUUGUGUAUCAAAUUUUAAUAAAAGAAAAAAAAAAAUGUGAUCCCAUUGAAUCAUCUUCUUAUAAAUCUCUGUCACGCAAAUAUCCUGUGUAGACUGAAAACGGCCGUUAUAAAUGCUGUUGGGAAAUUAUUUUGAAUUCUGCAAAAACAAAAAGGCCUCCGCACAAACGAGUCUGCUUAAAACACGAUUUUUUUUUAAAUUUUUAAUUUUUUUUGAAAAUAGAUUGUUGCAUUUUUUGUAUUCAACCACCUCUCUGUAAAUGAAUUUAUUUGAGAGAUAUUUUUCUGUACGGGAUUCACAAACAUCCUUAAUUUAAUCGAUCAAACCGAUCAGUUAAAAUCCUUCCUUUUAUUAGGUUUUUCUGUGUAUAUUUUGAACCUCAUGUGUACACCUGCGAGUUUAAAGUAACAUUUAAACGUAAACUGUUGUUUUAUCUGUGCCAAAGGAUGAAAGAGGAGGAUUAACGUUACACCUCCUGCAUGUUUUCAACUCGUUCUUAAUCAGGAAAACGUUUAAGCGUCGGCUUUUUAAUAUCAUGCAGCUGACAAUAUUUAUUACUAUUUCAUGUUCGUUGAGAUACUUUUUUUUUUUUUUUUUUAACAAGCAAAAUAAUCUUUUGUGUGCUUGCAGAUGUGUUGACAGCGUGGAGAAAUUGAAUUAGCAGCUGCAGCGCUGAGAACAUUGAAUCAUAUUAUAGGAGCGCAGCAGCAGAGAGGCAGAGAGGAAGCUACCUACCUGCAGCCUGCAGGCCGGAGGGAGACGCGUCUUACCUCCACAAACAACACGGAGGAGACACUACUACUACAUGUCAGACAACAUCAUGACAUCAAAUUUAACUUCCCAUCAGGAAAAAGUCUUAGUUUCGAUUUCAUAUAUCAUAUUUAGUGUUUGAUUCUUGUCAAAACCCCCCAGUAUAAUCGGUACAAUAACAUUUGUAAUUUUAAAAACACUCAUACUUGAAAUUACUCAAAGAUAGGCUAUGAAAAUAGUGAAGUUUCAACAAGCUUCAAAUUAGGUUGCGAUUAAAUAUGAUUGCAAAAUCCGAUCUAAUUAUUUAGUUACUUCAAGACGCAGAGGAACAUAAUCAAACAUCUGCAAGUGUUAUCAUGCAGUAAAUAAUGUGCAAAUGCAAAUAACCGUGCCUCCCUUAAAAUCAGAUCAUGUCGCACACUAUGAAUUAAUGACCUUAAAACUGAGUUUAGGUUUAAGUUUAUCCCUGCUUCCUCUUCAGUACAGGUAAGGGUUUUAUAAAUCACAUAAAACUAAAAAACAGCACUGACAUUGAUUCAUGUGUUUCUUGAAGGAUAAAUGUGGGGGGGAUGAGAUGAACCUGAAGCUGAUCCAGAAAAAAAAAAAAAAUCCUGCUCAUGUUCCUGAUUCAAAUCUUAUCUCCUUCCGACCUCCCAGCAGCCCGCUGAACUCCGAUCAGUGAGCACAUCUCCGGCUUUGUCUUGGACAUUUUACACUGUAUACAGGUCUUGACACACUUGAUGGGCCGACUGUGGUGGUGUUCAGUGUGAAGACGGUGAUGCUAAAACAUGCAGGAAUCAUCUAAGGUAGGUUCCCACACACAGUGAAUUUUGAGUGGCAGAGAAAAGUCAUUACUCAAAGUGCCUGGUAUAGUUGAGUCCUUGCAUUAGCUGCUCAUCUUCUUCUUUGUUUUUGUAAUUUUUUCAACCAAAAUGACCUUCGUUUUUGAAAUGUUUUCGGGCCGCUCAUUUACACAAAUUUCUCCAAAAGACUUUUUUUUUUUUAAAUAACCAUUUUUACAUAUUUACAAAAGAAAGAAAUUAAUAUACAGUAAAUGAUAAUCUCCUAGAAUUGUGUGUAUUUUAGCAGCAGCCACCUCUACAUCCAUCAGGAGACAGAUCUUUUACAUCUCAACUUCUAAAUCAACCAGGUGAUUUUUACUCCCACCCACGUCUGUGUGCGUUCUCUCUCUGGAUGCUGCUGGACUUCACAAUUCUCUUUGUUUAAGCACAUUUAUAAUAGUGAAUGAGUGACAAUAAGCUAUUAUAGCUAUUACUGCCUAUACAACCACCUGAUGUUGAGCAAUUUACCGUAAUCUAUACAAUGAAAUGCCCUAGAAUAUGGUCAAAUUGCACCCUAAUCUGGAAUGUAAAAAUGCAGUCAUAUUUAGAUGAAUUUCCUCUUGCAUGAUUUUCAUGGUUAAAGCUACAUGGUAAAUGAAUCUAUAGUCACAUGUUGAAGUGACAUGAAGUAUGGAUAUAUGAUACAAAGUUGUUAAAAAAAACGUUUUUUAAAACAGUCUUCGCUGCCCAAUGUUGUCACCUGUCAUAACCAAAUGUAAUUGGCUGACAUCUCACUGACAUCUCACAGUUUGGAUAAGAUGAGCAAGCAGCACAAUUACAUGCAUCAGCAUCCACUGGUGGCACUUUCUUUUAAAAAAACAAACAAAUGAGCGUAUUCCCUUAUAGAUUUAAAAGCACGAGGAGAUAUUUCUGCUGGUUGCUUUUGAGAAAUGAAGCUCUAGCAGGAGGUCUGGGAGGUUCUUCUAUUCAGUAAAGUCUCUAAAUAGGAAACAAUGGAUGAUGGAUGGUACCAUGUGGGCUGCACUUGAAACUAGAGAUUGCUACCUGGUCACGCUACAUUAACUUGAUGAUAACUUUGAAACGUACAAACACAAUAUUUAUUAUAAUUAAAGUACCAGUCUUAUUGGCAGGCUGCUGGACCUGCUGGCAUUUAACAAUGCUAAGGCUAAACUGUUGACAUGGAGCCCACCAUUGUUUAGCAUAGUAGGAUAAAUGUGAAUGGAGCCUACUAUCAUUCAACCAUGCUAAGCUGCUAUAGCAUCACAGUGUAGGCCAGGGGUCAGCAACCUUUACUAUCAAAAGAGCCAUUUUAGGCAAAACAUUUUAGUUGUAAUGUUAUGAGAAUAAAGUCAUAACUUUACGAGAAAAAGAGUCAUAAUGU